rnacentral:rRNA from 1 species
UGAUGGCGUAAGUCGGCCGACUCCCGGAGCCCGUGAAAAGGAGGGCGGGAGGACCGUACCGAGAACCGACACAGGUGCCCUGGCUGAGCAAGCCAAGGCGUGGCGGAACACUCCGGCCGAGGGAAAUCGGCAAAUUGGCCCCGUAUCUUCGGUAGAAGGGGUGCCUGCGGUCUUGGCCUCACGGCUGGGACCGCAGGUCGCAGUGACUUGGGGGGGGCGACUGUUUACUAAAAACACAGGGGGCUGCAACCCCGUAAGGGUUAGUACAGCCCCUGAGUCCUGCCCAGUGCGGGUACCUGAAAGCCGGGUACAACCGGCCGAAGGGCCCGUAAACGGCGGGGGUAACUAUGACCCUCUUAAGGUAGCGUAAUACCUUGCCGCUUAAUUGGCGGCUUGCAUGAACGGAUUAACGACCCCCCCACUGUCCCCGGCCGGAAGCCGGCGAACCCGACAUCCCAGUGAAGAGUCUGGGGACCCCCGAUGGGAAGCGAAGACCCUGUGGAGCUUUACUGCAGCCUGCCGUUGCCUCACAGCUGGGGGUGCGCAGCGUAGGCGGGAGGCUUCGAAGCCCGGUCUCCGGGCCGGGUGGAGCCGUCCAUGAGACACCGCCCACCUCCAGCUGUGGGGCUAACCGCUUCGUGCGGGACAUCGGUAGGUGGGCAGUUUGGGUGGGGCGCCACUCCCCCGAAAAGAUAUCGGGGGAGCCCAAAGGUCGGCUCAGGCGGGUCAGAACUCCGCCGUAGAGUGCAAGGGCAAAAGCCGGCCUGACGUGACCCCGCACAAUAAGGGGUCACGAGCCGAAAGGCGGGCCUAGCGAACCACCCUGGCCUCUUGGUGAGGCCGGGUGACGACAGAAAAGCUACCCCAGGGGUAACAGAGUUGUCCCCGGCGAGAGUUCAUAUCGACCCGGGGGUUUGCUACAUCGAUGUCGGCUCUCCCCAUCCUGGCCGUGCAGCAGCGGCCAAGGGUGAGGUUGUUCGCCUAUUAAAGGGGAUCGUGAGCUGGGUUUAGACCGUCGUGAGACAGGUCGGUUGCUAUCUAUCGGGGGUGUCUGGGCGGCUGAGGGGAAGGAGGCCCUAGUACGAGAGGAACGGGCCUCCGGCGCCACUGGUCGACCGGUUGUCCGGCAGGGCACUGCCGGGCA